UGAUUGAUCAAAGUUUUGAAAUGUUGUGUUUUCAUGUUAUAUGAUUUACUUAUUUCUAGAAUACAUUAAUAUCAUUUAAAAAAAUUACAGCAAUUUGUAUCUUAUAUACCGGUAUGGGAUUCACAUUUUCAUGGUUGCAGUUCCUGUACAGGUUAAUUACUUGAUCACUGAAGUAUCCAAAAGAAUCAAAUUUCAUAUCACACCAGAACAAAGGGAUAAAGUGGGGAAAAGACAUCGAGUUUCUUAUGGCCAACAAACCAAAAGACAAAAGAUUAUUUGUUGGUGACCAUGUGCCCAAUGGAGUCAAUGGUGAAAGUUGGAAAGUUUAUUUUUUAUACAUUACUUUUAUUCUCAAAAGUUGUAAUAAUCAGCAUGCCUUGCAAUAUUUUGCAUUUCCUCAGUAUGCAUAUGGCAAGAGUAUGAAAAGGAUUUAAAAAAAACAUAAAACAAAUAUAAACAAUGUGAAGCAACUUAUAUAAGAUUCAUGAUAUUGCUCAUUAUCUUCCAGAAUACUUUAAUAAUCUUUAACAUAUAAUGGCCAAAUAAAAUCUAUCAAAGAAUCUAUAACCAGAACUACAAAGAUUUUGUAGUCUUGCUUUAUGUAAACAUGCAUUUUAUUAUACAUGUACCCUAAAUAUUAAGGAGAGAUACAUAUUGAUGUGUAAGUUUGUUCAUCUGUACAUUUGUCUGGUUGUUCCGUAAAAACAGUCCAUAAAAACAUGUUUUUUUGCUACAUAGCUAAAAAUAAAAAUGUGAGAAAAAAAAUCUAGCUAUUCUAUAAAAUUCCACAUAGUAUAAACAAUUUUUAAUAACACAGAGUUCAGAUUUUUUCUUUAUAUUUUAAAAGUGAAGGGAAAGUGAUGUAUGAUUCCUAUUUGAAAAAAGAUGUUAUUGUUACUUCACAGCUGGGUAAAGGGUUGAUGGACAAUACAAUGGCAGCAUAGUUUUGUCACAGUACUAGGCGCUGCAGCUAAGGAAAAUUGUAGAUUUUGUAAGGGAUCUACCACCAGAUUUACUGCACUGCUGAUAUUUGGGUGAGAUAUAUGUUUUGAUAAUUGCUAUCCUCCAUGCUCAGUUGCUCCACAGAUUUACAGAAGGAAAACAUACAACUAGCCAUUAACAACACUGAGUGGAAUGGUAUCCAUGACAAAUGUGGAAGUUCUUUUAUCUGCUACCAUAAAUCUAGUCAAAGGAAGGAUUUUAAAGCUGUUGUUCAGCUUGCUCCAUUUUUAGUGAAAAGGGGCUGGAUAUGAGCCAGAAGUAGUUCAACUUGGUGUAUGCUAG